rnacentral:tRNA from 3 species
GCUAGCGUAGCUUAAUACUAAAGCAUAGCACUGAAGAUGCUAAGAUGGGUUUUAAAAGACUCCGCAUGCA